rnacentral:rRNA from 1 species
AUUGAACGCUGGCGGCAGGCCUAACACAUGCAAGUCGAACGAGUGGCGGACGGGUGAGUAAUGUCUGGGAAACUGCCUGAUGGAGGGGGAUCACUACUGGACACGGUAGCUAAUACCGCAUACCUUCCGAUGUGCCCAGAUGGGAUUAGCUAGUGGGUGGGGUAACGACUCACCACGGCGGCGAUCUCUAGCUGGUCUGAGAGGAUGACCAGCCACACUGGAACUGAGACACGGUCCAGACUCCGACGGGAGGCAGAAGUGGGGAAUAUUGGACAAGGGGCGCAAGCCUGAUGCAGCCAGGCCGCGUGUAUGAAGAAGGCCUUCGGGUUGUAAAGUACUUUCAGCGGGGAGGCUUUACCCGCAGAAGAAGCACCGGCUAACUCCGUGCCAGCAGCCGCGGUAAUUC